CUUGGCACCGAUUCACACACCCGCAAUGCUGGAGCAUUUGAUCAGUUUGCUACCAGUAUUGGUAAUACUGAUGUAGGUUUUGUCAUGGGCACUGGAAAACUUCUGUUCAAGGUUUAAAAAAAAAAGUUCGUUGUGCACUUCUUUGUUGGCUUCUGUCAGUUGAUUUUUUGUGUUGACUGCAGUGUCAAGAAACAAAGUAAUCGUCAUUACCAUGAAGCCUUUCUGACAUUAACAUUGGGUUCGCCAUGGAGCAUGAAACUUCUUUAAAAAAGAAGAAGAAAUUUUAAUGAUGUCAACUUGACAUUAACGCUCUGUUACCUAAUCCCUAGCCAAGAAAAUCAUAGAAAAUAGAUAUUAUCUUAAUCCUUGAACACCAGUUAUUCUUACAGACGGAAAAGCUUGAAAGAGAUAAUUGCUAUGAAGUAUUGGAUUCAAUGUAGAGGCACUUGUUAAACAAAGUGCCACAAAGAACAAUUUACCACAAAGUAGAGAAGAUAUAAUUUUAUUAAAUUAGCAAUCUAACUAUUCAGAAGGCCAUUGCACAGUUGGAUGGGGACAUGCCUGACUAUUUGCUAGCCAAGGAUUUGAUUUUGCAGUGUAUGAACCUACCCUGUUUCGUGGUAGAUUAUUAGUGAAAUGACUGUUUCUGGCGCUACAUACAGUGUAUGAACCUGCCUUGUUUCAUUAGUUCUACUGUUGAAAGUUUUAAGUGUAAGUCGAUUAUAAUGUAAUUUCACAUCUAGGAUUCUAUUGAAGUCAAGUAGCAUAUUCAUUUAUGCUUGAUCUGAUGGAAGAGCGAAUGACUUUGUGUAACAUGGUUAUUGAAGCGGGAGGUAGAAAUGGAGUUGUUCCUACAGAGGCAACUACGUUCAAGUACCUAGAGAUUAGCCAUGUCGCUGAAGAGGUCGCGUGUCUUGAGGGGUCGCUCAACUACUUAGUCACCUGAGCCAGAGCCUUUUGCUUGCACAGAUUUUUUUCAUGAUCCCAAAUUUGAUGUCUCCAAGUUGGAACCAUUGGUUGCAAAGCCACAUUCUCCUGAUAAUCAUGCUUUAGCAAGAGAGCGCAAAGAUGUGAAAAUUGUUAGAAUAUAUAUAGCCUCGUGCACUGGUGGAAAGACUGAGGAUUUUCUUGCUGCCAUAAAGGUUUUUCUAGCCUUGGGGAAAAGGUGGAAGUUCCGACAUUUCUUGUGCCUGCCGCCCAAAAGGUUUGGAUGGAUUUCUAUGCCCUCCCAGUCCCAGGUUCUGCGGGCAAGACCUGCUCUCAGAAUUUCGAGGAAUCUGAUUAUGAUGUUCCAGCGAGCCCUAAUUGUGGAGCUUGUUCGGGUGGUCCCCGAGACACUUAAGCCCGAAUGAACGAACCUAAGGCAAGUUAUUCUGUUAGGGUUGCAAGUCUUUGGAUUACAGUUGAAACUUAUUUUGUGGUAGUUUUUGUUAAUCUCUCCUAUCAGAGGUUAAACAAUAGUGGAAAGGGUUAAUUGCAGAUGCACCCUUAAAACUAUGAUGAUGUAACCACUUACAUCCCGUAAAUUAUUUUAUGGGUUAUUUGCUGAUGGACCCCCCCUGUACUAUCGUCUAAUUGAAAAUAGAUCCCCUGUGUAGUUCUGUUA